rnacentral:rRNA from 1 species
GGCGAACGCUGGCGGCGUGCCUAAUACAUGCAAGUCGAACGCUUCUUUCCUCCCGAGUGCUUGCACUCAAUUGGAAAGAGGAGUGGCGGACGGGUGAGUAACACGUGGGUAACCUACCCAUCAGAGGGGGAUGACACUUGGAAACAGGUGCUAAUACCGCAUAACAGUUUAUGCCGCAUGGCAUAAGAGUGAAAGGCGCUUUCGGGUGUCGCUGAUGGAUGGACCCGCGGUGCAUUAGCUAGUUGGUGAGGUAACGGCUCACCAAGGCCACGAUGCAUAGCCGACCUGAGAGGGUGAUCGGCCACACUGGGACUGAGACACGGCCCAGACUCCUACGGGAGGCAGCAGUAGGGAAUCUUCGGCAAUGGACGAAAGUCUGACCGAGCAACGCCGCGUGAGUGAAGAAGGUUUUCGGAUCGUAAAACUCUGUUGUUAGAGAAGAACAAGGACGUUAGUAACUGAACGUCCCCUGACGGUAUCUAACCAGAAAGCCACGGCUAACUACGUG